GACGAACGCUGGCGGCGUGCCUAAUACAUGCAAGUAGAACGCUGAAGAGAGGAGCUUGCUCUUCUUGGAUGAGUUGCGAACGGGUGAGUAACGCGUAGGUAGCCUGCCUUGUAGCGGGGGAUAACUAUUGGAAACGAUAGCUAAUACCGCAUAACAAUGGAUGACACAUGCCAUUUAUUUGAAAGGGGCAAUUGCUCCACUACAAGAUGGACCUGCGUUGUAUUAGCUAGUAGGUGAGGUAAUGGCUCACCUAGGCGACGAUACAUAGCCGACCUGAGAGGGUUAUCGGCCACACUGGGACUGAGACACGGCCCAGACUCCUACGGGAGGCAGCAGUAGGGAAUCUUCGGCAAUUGGGGCAACCCUGACCGAGCAACGCCGCGUGAGUGAAGAAGGGUUUCGGAUCGUAAAGCUCUGUUGUAAGUCAAGAACGGGUGUGAGAGUGGAAAGUUCACACUGUGACGGUAGCUUACCAGAAAGGGACGGCUAACUACGUG
rnacentral:rRNA from 1 species